UUAAAUAGCGGGGGAUGCAGCCAUCACAUGAAUCGUACAGCCAGUUCCGAAAUGGCGCGGUCCAGUCCCGGAAUGGUGUACCGUUGAUCCAUGCUUCCAAUCGAUGCCGGGGCUCCGCGAGCCAGGGACCAGCGUCCCAGUCGUAGCUUUUGCUAUGACCCCCGCCCAUACUUCUGCAAGUAUGGACUUCCGCCUGAGGCGGCGUUUACUUGUAGGCAUCCAUGACAGCUGACCCAGAGGUCGGAGCCAUAAGAUCUGACAGAAAGGCGGCAAAAUAGGCAGUUGGAAUUCAGUUAGUUCCAGCGAACUUGUCCAGCAACCGCGCCAAGCGAGAAAGGAAAAACUAGACAGAAACGGUAUCAGUUUGGGACCAGAUUUAAGAAGCGGAAUACAACAACUAUCCCCCCUCUAGAUGCAGCAUCCUCGAUGCAUGGUAAGAAACUGGCAGAGCAGAAUAGUAGCGCGGGAGCUAAACACUUACCUUUAACCCCCAAAUCUUACCUCGCCCGUGCUCGUUGCCGUGCUUCUUCCAGCAGAGGUUUCAGACCAGGGGUCAAGUUAGCUUCUGGUUCGCAACUGUUGUGCUCAGCCGAGUACCCAGCCCAUUUGACAAGAUACUCGUGCACAGUGAGCUUACGGUGGCGGUUUCUGCCUACUUUUCGGGAACGGUAAUCCAGUAUCCGUUGAACCGCGUAAAAUGUCUGCUUGCCUGAAAGCCAAGUAACUGGUCCUGGCUCCGUGACCGUUAGCGCGUAAUAGCGGCGAGAGCCGACAGGUUACAGGACGGAUUCGCUCCGUCAAGUUCUGGGUUCGUUCCUUAGUAGGGAGCGUCAGAAGCGUGGGCUUCUGGAAUCUCUCUCACUGGUGUAUUG
rnacentral:lncRNA from 1 species